UACGAAGGGGGCUAGCGUUGUUCGGAAUCACUGGGCGUGAAGCGCACGUAGGCGGACUUUUAAGUCAGGGGUGAAAUCCCGGGGCUCAACCUCGGAACUGCCUUUGAUACUGGAAGUCUUGAGGCCGAGAGAGGUGAGUGGAAUUCCGAGUGUAGAGGUGAAAUUCGUAGAUAUUCGGAAGAACACCAGUGGCGAAGGCGGCUCACUGGCUCGGUACUGACGCUGAGGUGCGACAGCGUGGGGAGCAAACAGG
rnacentral:rRNA from 1 species